rnacentral:rRNA from 1 species
GAUGAACGCUAGCGGCAGGCCUAAUACAUGCAAGUCGGACGGGAUUCAGGAGCUUGCUUCUGAUGAGAGUGGCGCACGGGUGCGUAACACGUAUGUAACCUACCUUUAUCAGGGGGAUAGCCUCUCGAAAGAGAGAUUAAGCCCGCAUAAAAUCACAGCACAGCAUUGUGUAAUGAUCAAAUAUUUAUAGGAUAAACAUGGGCAUGCGGAACAUUAGCUAGAUGGCGGGGUAACGGCCCACCAUGGCGACGAUGUUUAGGGGAUCUGAGAGGAUGGCCCCCCACACUGGUACUGAGACACGGACCAGACUCCUACGGGAGGCAGCAGUAAGGAAUAUUGGUCAAUGGGCGGAAGCCUGAACCAGCCAUGCCGCGUGCAGGAAGACGGCCCUACGGGUUGUAAACUGCUUUUAUACGGGAAUAAACCCAGAUACGUGUAUCUGGCUGAAUGUACUGUAAGAAUAAGGAUCGGCUAACUCCGUG